GUAGGUGGCAAGCGUUGUCCGGAAUUAUUGGGCGUAAAGCGCGCGCAGGCGGGGUCCUUUAAGUCUGAUGUGAAAGCCCACGGGCUCAACCGUGGAGGGUCAUUGGAAACUGGGGGACUGGAGUACAGAAGAGGAAAGCGGAAUUCCAAGUGUAGCGGUGAAAUGCGUAGAGAUUUGGAGGAACACCAGUGGCGAAGGCGGCUUUCUGGUCUGUAACUGACGCUGAGGCGCGAAAGCGUGGGGAGCAAACAGGAUUAGAUACCCUGGUAGUCCACGCCGUAAACGAUGAGUGCUAAGUGUUAGGGGGUUUCCGCCCCUUAGUGCUGCAGCUAACGCAUUAAGCACUCCGCCUGGGGAGUACGGCCGCAAAGGCUG
rnacentral:rRNA from 1 species